rnacentral:rRNA from 1 species
UACGGAGGGAGCUAGCGUUAUUCGGAAUUACUGGGCGUAAAGAGCGUGUAGGCAGCCAUGCAGGUCAGCUGUGAAAACUCGAGGCUCAACCUCGAGACGUCGGUUGAAACCGUAUGGCUAGAGUCCGGAAGAGGAGAGCGGAAUUCCACGUGUAGCGGUGAAAUGCGUAGAGAUAUGGAGGAACACCAGUGGCGAAGGCGACUUUCUGGUCUGUAACUGACACUGAGGCGCGAAAGCGUGGGGAGCAAACAGG